rnacentral:lncRNA from 1 species
CACUUUAUAAUUAAGAAUUACAAUUCUUUAUUAAGCAUAAAAUUAUAAUUUGCCACAAUUCACUCUUAAUCCAAGACAAAGUAAACACAUAAAUGGAGUUUUGAUUCUUAUUCCACACUCUCAUUCUAUUGUAAGUAAACAACCUACUCAUACUCAUACUCUACAGUCUCAAUCCCAAGAUUCCCACUCCUCAUGAUUCCUGAUCCAAUCCAAAAAGUAAAUGCCACAUUAAAUUAGAAUCCAAAUUGGAUUCAGUGCAUAUGGAAUCCUAUCAUAACUUAUGGUAAUGGGCAUUAUUAUAAAAGAAGCCAAAAAUGAGACCUAAGAAGGGAAGGAGCCAGAUGUAGAAGACAGAAAAGAAGAAUGAGCAACAACAAUAUUCUCCAAAGCUUUCUAUGACUGAUUUUAUUUAUUUUGUUACUCUUCACUCAAGUAUAUCUAGUUAAUUUUCUUAUAUUGAGGUUAAUAUUGAGAUUAAGAAUGAACCAUAUUCAAUUAUCUUUUUAUUUAAUUACUUCCCUACAUAUGUUCUUUGAUGAUUAUUGUUCUUGUUAACAAGAUUAAUUAAAUAAUUGUCUUUUAAUCUUUAAUAUCAUUUAUUCUUGAGAGUUAAGAGGUUAUUUGAUUAAAUCCAAGCUUGGUAAAAUAAUGAUUAAUAUGAUUCUCUUUGAUUAUGUAUUUUUUAAUAAAUUGGAUACAUAGAAUAAUACUUAAGAAACUUUGAUUCUUUGUUUUUCAAUAGAAUACAUAUAAUGCUUAAAAAUUCUACCUUGAAGCAAAAAAAGAACCAACAUUAGGUUUAAUUACUUGAGCAUAAUUUUUAUGUCAUGAGAUGGCAUAGAUUGAUUUCAGGUUGUCAUUCUAAGAUUGAGAAUUAAUUGAUAAUUAAAUAAUUACUAAUUGAAUAGUAGUGAUUUCUGAAAUCAUGAUAACCUUUUUCUUAUUAUAAUUUCCUUUCUUUAAUUAUUUGCUUAGUUUAAUUCCCUUAAAACUCAAUUUAUUCAACUAGGUUAUGGUUAAUAUUGAUUAGAUUUAAAUUAGACUUUACCAUUUUUACAAAUCCCUAUUCGACCUCGUUAUCACUAUUAUAUUGUAAAGAUUAAUGCACUUAUAAAUAUAUUAAAAUUUUGCAUAACAAUCACCAUCAUCAAUCGUAACGGUCCCUAUAUUCGAAGUUGUCAUCUCCUUAGCCGCAUAGGUGUUGGGUUAAGUCUCUUUUAGUGUGCAUGUGUGUUUAGUUGAUAAAAAUUUUUAAAAAAAAGUAAUAUAAUUCAUAAGUUAUUGUUUAUUGCUGAUCAAACAUAAAUAUUUACUAUUGUUGUUGACUUAUUUAAAUUGUAAUUAAAUUUAGUAAUUCUAAACCUAAUAGUAAUUUGUCAAAGCAAAAUUAAAAUUGGAUUUAUUUUUUAUUUGCGUUGAAAGCACCCUCGUUCAGUUAUCUUUAAAUAUCGUUAUUAGACGUUUAAUUUUAAAGUUUGAUUGGCCUAAUGGGUAUGAGCAAAUUAGUUAGCUUGAAUUCUCAUGUUCUAGCGCCUUAACAAAAAAAUUAUUUUUUAAAUUGAAGUUGAGGCCUCCGAGCUGGCACAGGCAUAGCCCACAUUGCAGGCUGGGUUGGCAUUGCCCACAACUCAUGGGCCGUGCCGGGCUUCAUGGUACAGCUGGGCCUAUCCUUAACAGACCGACCCGAUAAUAGCAUACCAUUCCUUGGCUAAGUUGGUUUUCGGUAGGGUUGGUGAUCGGGAUUAACCGAUUUCACUCCCAUCACAAAUAGUAAAUCAAGACCAAAAUUUGUUCCGAGCCCCAAUCGAUUGAAAUUUUAAAUCUUGAUUGAAAUUUGGAUUGUUCCAAUUUUAUCCAUUAAGUAUCUAAAUUUAAGGGUUAAUUUCGUCCUGCCUCCAAAUAUUUCAAUAUAUUCCACCGCGCACCCAAAUAUUUCAACAAUGCUCAAUCUACACUCAAAUCCGUUAAUUUGACCGUUUAUUCCAACAGUCAAAGAGCAAUUUUGGAAGUUCAUGCCCUAAAUAUUAUUUGAUAAUGAUAAAUUAAAUUUAUUUAAUAAGUUAAUUGAUGGAAUUAUUAUUAAUUAUUUUUAAUUAAGAAAUUUUAAUGUAAAUAUUAAUUAUUGGAUUAACAUUUUAUCUCAUUUAAUUCUUUUCUAAUUUAAGAUAAGGGGUAUUUCAGACAUUUCAUUAACUUUCAAAUAGUUCCGUUAAAAAUAACGGUCAAAUUAACGGAAUUGGGUGCGCGGUGAAAAAUGUCGAAAAGUUUAGGUGCGCAGUGGAAAAUGUUGAAAGAUUUGGGGGUUCGGUGUAAAUAACCCUAAAUUUAAUGUGUGAAUUACCAACCAAUUUUGUUUUUCACUUGUUUAGUUAAACUAUUUUUUUUUCAUUUGCUUAGUUCAAUUAAACUUUAAAAGUGAUUGCAAAGUAGUGAACCUCUUGGACUUGGACCUGAUUAUUUAAAAGGAAAUUGAAAAUUUUAUUCUACCCGAUCUGAGACAAAAGGAUUCGAAUCUUCUUAUAGUGAGUUAGAAUAUAGUAAUUAGAAUAGUAAUUCUACUUCUAAAAGAAAGUGGAAUGCAUGUUAAUUAUAAUGUGUAAUGUGAUGUUGUCUCUUCGAUCUCCAAAUGUUUUUCUUUUCCAUUAUUCCAAUCUUAUCUAUUAUUAAUUAAGAAUUAAAAUAAUAGUUGGGACAAUUGGGACAUUCAAGAUCCUUAUAGGAUUUUUAAAUAUCUUGAAUCCCCUCCUAAAUAAUAAUUAGAAUCAAAUUUGUCUCAAAUUCCGACCGAUUUCAAAUUAAUUUUUGAAAAUUUGUAUUGAAUCUCAAUCGGGAUUUAGUUUUUUCUACCAACCUAGCUUCAAUGAGAAAUGAAAUUGUUUUAUAGUUGAAAUUAAAGACAUAAUCACAAAGUUGAAUAAAUGAAAGUUUAAUUUAUAUUUAUAAAAUUAUUUAUUACUUCAUCCCAUCCUCCAAAAAAUAGAUGUCAUUUUACUUAGGAUUAUGAAGUUGGGUCAUUGGAAAGUAUAGCAUUACUCUUCCAUGAAUUUGCGUAACAAAGUUUAUAGGCAAAUAAAGCUAAGCCGAUAGAUAGCAGAGGAUGUCUUGUACUGUGAGUAGCAGAAAGAAGCUAGCUUUCUUUUCUUUUCUUUUUUUGUUUCAUUAUUAUUAUUGGAAAAGUACAAAGAAGUUGGUCAAAGAUAAAAGGUGAAGCUUUUGAGAAUUCAUCUAAGGAGAAGCUUUUGAGAAUCCAUCUUCGUAAUGAAGAUAAUGGGAUCUUUGCAAUAUAUUAUAGGGUUAAUUAAUUUCAAAUUAUUCCUUUGUAAGUUGAUAAUUUUUAAAUCACCUCUCUUACUUUUAGAAAUUUUAAUUUACCUCCAUUUUUAUUGAAAAGACAAAAGAAUUUCAUCAACCCACCUCCAUUUUUUUCCUCAUCUUUUAAACAAAAAUAGAGAUAACUUGAAAUUUUAAAAAAAAUAAGGAGAUAAUUUUAAAAUAACCAAUUCAUAAAGUGAUAAUCUAAAAUUUAACCUAUAUUAUAUUAACAAGAUCUGAAUUAUUGACUUUCUCUAUUGACAAGUUCAGUCAAUUUCUUGUAAGAGUGCUGAGGUAUCUGCAGUGCACAACAAAUUGUGGUGUUCAAUUUUUCAACACAGCUGGAUCUUUCACACCUAUUACAACAUUCUCAUUUGCUUGACUGGGAUCUUGAUCUUGAUGAUAGAUAAUUAGUGGGAGACUUGUGUUAUCUGGACAAUAAUUUGGUGUCCUGAUCCUCAAAGGGCAGCAAAUAGUCUCUAAUUCAAAAGCAGGAUCAGAGUAUAGGGCUCUUGCAUUGGCAACAUCUUAGGUUUAAUUAUUAUUCCAUGCUCCUUUUCUCAAUUUGAUUAUCAAAGAGAAGAGGUUCUCGUUAUCAUUCGAGAACUAAACACAUUGAAUUUGAUAUUCAUUUUGUUAGAAAACACCUAGAACGCAAGGAACUUGUAGUUCAGCAUGUGUCCAGUCAUGAUCAAUUUGCUAGAUAUCCUUACCAAGCCUCUCUCUUUUGAUAGUUUGCAUAUAUACCUCGGAUUCAAGCUCAAUAUUCUGCCAAGACUCUUCGCUCAAGGGUAGAUAUUAAGGUAGUUAUUUAGUCUUGAUGACAUGGAAGCUAACUAAGCAGUUUUUUUUCUUUUUUUCUUUUUUUUUUUGGGCUAAUUACCCAGCAAGUUGCUUAUUAGAGGCAGUUAACUUCAUAAAACUUUAAUUAUUUCCCACACAAAAUUUGUUCAGAUUACAAAGAAUUUUAUAAAUCUUAAUAUAGUAUCAGAGCUUGAUUUCUGAUGGUUUCAAUAGCUUCUUCUAGUACAGUCAAGUCAUUGUUUCUUCUUUUAUUACCUUCUUAGCAUACAUGUAUAUCGAUUAGCCUGGCGAUUCGCACAUUCAAAAGUGAAACAAGCAUCCCAUUAAGAAGAAUUUGAAUGCAUUCCCAAAGAAGAAUAAAUUCUAAAGGAGCGUAUGAAUAAAGAGGAAUUAAUCACAUGAAGUUACAUAUUCUAUUAUGAUCAACAUAACAAAGAAUCGUAGCUUGAUUUUAACAUAAUAAAAUUGCUCCUUAAUUAAAUCAUUUCCAAGAUCUUAGUACUGAAAGCAAUUUAUUCGUCGAUCUGUAUCUCACACAACGAAGCUAAAAACAGGAUGGGUUUCAUCAAUAAAAUUAAGGGUAAUUUUUAAAAAACUCCCUUGAAGUUUGGGCUUGUUGCAAGUAGAUGGCGAGAAUUUAUUUAUUUGUAAAAAAUCCCCUACCGUCAGUUAACUUUAACAUUGACCGUUAGUUGACUGUGCAAAUACAAUAUUACCCUUAACAACAAUUUGUAAAUGGAAAUAACUAAAAAAAAAUUAAAAUUGUUGGCACGAAAAGCACAAACCCUA